rnacentral:rRNA from 1 species
CAGUCGAACGAACCGCGACUAGGUGCUUGCACUUGGUCAAGGUGAGUGGCGAACGGGUGAGUAACACGUGGGUAACCUACCUCAUAGUGGGGGAUAACAGUCGGAAACGACUGCUAAUACCGCAUAGGACAUGGAAUCACAUGAUUCAGUGAGGAAAGGUGGCGCAAGCUAUCGCUAAGAGAUGGACCCGCGGUGCAUUAGCUAGUUGGUAGGGUAAAGGCCUACCAAGGCGAUGAUGCAAUAUAGCCGACCUGAGAGGGUGAUCGGCCACAUUGGGACUGAGACACGGCCCAAACUCCUACGGGAGGCAGCAGUAGGGAAUCUUCCGCAAUGGACGCAAGUCUGACGGAGCAACGCCGCGUGAGUGAAGAAGGUCUUCGGAUCGUAAAGCUCUGUUGUUAGAGAAGAACAGCGCAUAGAGUAACUGCUAUGCGUGUGACGGUAUCUAACCAGAAAGCCACGGCUAACUACGUGCCAGCAGCCGCGGUAAUACGUAGGUGGCGAGCGUUGUCCGGAUUUAUUGGGCGUAAAGGGAGUGUAGGCGGUCUUUUAAGUCUGAUGUGAAAGCCCACGGCUCAACCGUGGAGGGUCAUUGGAAACUGGGAGACUUGAGUGCAGAAGAGGAGA